rnacentral:misc_RNA from 1 species
UGGGAAAGUCAGGUCCGGGUUUUUGCAGCAGAUCGUGCGGGUUACGAGCUUUUGGCGGCCGCCGGGUGUGGGUAGCGACCUCUCGCCAAACUGGAGUGAGUGCUCGGGGCCCGACAUGCCCAUGGUGGCGCUAAUGAUCUCACCUCGCUCCUUUCGUCUGCGCUGUCAUUGUUGUGCUUUGUCACGGCAUAUGCGGAGAGCAUGCUUGCUCUUACCUCUCUCCUGCUGGCUGUACUCAACCUCAUUCUCCUCACAGACAUCAUGCGCUCCAAGGUGGCCGACACGCGACCGAGCAGCCCGGCCAAGACUGACGCAAUGAAAGUUAGCGGCGGGCGGCCCACAGCUCGCACACUCGGCGCACCUUCCUUGAGACUGCCAGCACGUACACUCAGCGCUGUUGUCGUCUCCGCUGACGCUAGCGACGAUGAGGAUGCUACGUCACAGGAAUUAGGCAGCGGCACCUACGUUGACGCACCGCCAGCACCACAGUUGUCUGAAGAUGUUGUCGUACACACACUGCAAGAGGAUAAGAGGAGCAGAGUGGAAAAAUCCUGCUGCAGGAUGGGCAAGGUAGCUGCAGCACAUGACCUACACUGCAACGUCCAGGUACACGUAGAGAAGCUGAGAUUUCGCACCCACCCGGAUAAGACACGACACACUCAUGGCGGGCUCACUCGCCAACAAGGUCGACUUCCUAUCCGCCUAAGAAUAGACUUUAGACGAUGUAUUAUCUCCAAACCUCUUGUCUUUCAUAAAUGUUGCUAUGGUUAUACCAGUGCCAGAAAUGAUCGUCUUCGAUGGAUGAACCAGCGCAAAGGGAAAUCUGUAGGAAGUCACGACAUUGCCUGGCGCCACCUGCACAGUUAGUACAAUGACAAGGAGGACACUUGAUGUCCUGUCUGUGUCCCAACAAUGCAAGGGACAUAAUGUCGACCCACUUGUCUGGACUGGUGCUAGAAACAUAAUUACAAAGAGACUGCGGUCUGGUGCUACCUCUGUGUACUGGCCUUGUGCUAUCGCCAUGGUUACUGACAUGAUGGUGAGAACAUUCUCAGGUCCCAUGAUGCUGACAUGAUGAAGAGAAGACUCUUUAGCUAGCGUCACGGAGGCGAAACGAUAUUUACAAAUGACUAAUAUUAUAUGCAGCUGUUCUUGCUAUAUUCAUACGGGUGACUGAACGAAAGUAAGUUAUGAAAUACGAAAUUAUCUGCGCCUGGAAAGCUCAGUGACUUGGUGUUCAGUGAAUUCAACUGCCAAACACAAGGUCCUUGGUUCUAGACUCCCCCAAACCUGUGCUUGAAAAGUUUGUUUCAUCCAGCAUGGGGAGAAUAAAGACUGGAGAACUCCCCUGACCCCCAGGGUAGAUGUACAAGCACAUGUAGAUAAAGACUGCAGAGGGAGAAAAAGGGGCUACAACCCUGCAUUCCACACCUUGUGUCCUAGACAGAACCUCUUAUUGUUUACUGAAUCUUCGUCUUUUGCAUUUUGGGGUUAGGAGUCACGGAAAAUAUUCAGCGAAAUUAUCGGAAUCUGUUUUUAAAUUGCUGUAUGCUACGAAUGGUUUAUCACUUGCACGUGCCUAUACUGUUGAGGGUAUGAUAGUAUGAUACAGAAGGACUGUUCGUCCCUCGGACCUUGCAAGUCUGUAGUGAAUUCAUUUGUUCUCCUAGACAGCUUUCUUGUCUUCGUAGCUGUAAACUCGCAGUUUUACGUGUCAGAAACAAACAGGAAGGCAACAUAUAAGUACAAGAUAUGUACAAGUGUUCACUGAGUGUAUAAAGGUUAUAGGCUAGAUAUAUGAAAGUACAUUUUAGACAAUUGUUUUGGGUUGGUAUCAGACCGACAUUUUAGGGGGCAUAGGCAUUUUAGGGUGUGGUCUCUUUGUUGUCCGCUAAUUGUUCAGUCUCUUGCGUAAAAAGUUAUCCGUGAUUAUUUUCUAAGACCAAAGGUUCUGGUUGCUGUAAGUAGAAGCUUGUGUCAAAGGUGCUCGUUACUAAGUGAGUACUUCUUCACACAUCCAAACUGUGACCAAUUUUAUUGCAAACAUAGAAAAUAACCUGUUUUAUUUCCAAAGAAUUUCGCUUUGACGAUUCAGAAAGAUGUGAAGUUGUAAAAUAUGAGGCGACCUGUGGAAACUCAUUUCUGUUUUACAACUCACCACACAUAUACAUACAUACAUCUAUAUAGAGAGCAUUAUCAGAUUAUUUAGUAAUGUGCAAUUCUUUAUUUUCUGCUGACUUGAUAUUUAAAUAUAUAUAUAUACUUAUUUAUACAUUAGCUUUAUUUGCUAUUUUACUUUAUUUCAGUUUUAACAGAAUUUCUGUAGAUCAAUACUCUAUCACUUCAGUAUUUUUAGUAGUUUAUUCUUCUCUUUUUUUAAAGUUGAUAUCAGUCAAUACUUGGUUAUACUUCACCAUUUAAAGUAUGUGUGUAUAUAUAUAUACACACACACAUGGAUAGUAUAUGUUUCUUUGUAAAUGAGUGUCUUAGUUUCAAAAUACUUCUCGGAAUGAAUCAGUAAGCAAAACGACUGUCGAACUGUGGUUUGUAGCUAGGGGGGUGUUCAUGACAAACAACAAAAACUAAAAUAAUAUACAAACUUGCUCGACCUUGACCGAACGGUCGUAAUAACUGUGCAGGUUCAUGUCCCUCUAACAAAUGUUAGGGUUAAGGUUAGGGUUAGUGGCUUCUGUGCUUUCUUACAUUUCUAUAUUCACAUUUGGUUUUAUUCUAAAAGCCCAGGACUGCCAAUCUGAUAUUAAUUACACUACCAAUCUGAUGUUGAAGAUGCCGCCAGUCUGAUAUUAAAUCUUUUUUGUGUAUUUACACUUUUCAUGUAUGUAGUUAAUGACACCUGUUUUUAUAUAAUUUUAUGUGAAGUUGCACUUCCAUAUUCUUACUCAACUGUUUUGUAUUCCUCAUUAGAGUUGGUUGUAUUCCUCACUGAAAUAGAGUUUUUACUUGUACAGUUAUAUGUAAGUAAUAGAAUUUACUCCUGCACCUACAUGUUUGCCUAAAUUUUUUUUUAUUUCUAUAAAACUCUUUUGUGAUGGCUAAGAUAGCAAGAUAAUGGCUGCAGGCAGCCCCUGUAUAUUUAUAACAUGCUGUGGCUAUGUGUAAGAUGGCAUUGGCUAGACAAAAAAAGGGGGGGGGGGAGUGAAGAGGAAUCAUAGAAAAUAAGAGGAGAAAUGUAGGGUUUUCGUGACUUAGCACAAUAACAUCUUAUUUCUUUUCAUUAUGCUUCUUAAAAACUCAUGCUACCUAACCACAAACAACACAAUAUACAAACUAUUAUAACUAAUAAUAGAAGCCACAAAUUUGUGUUGCUGGUUUCGACCUCUUUCUCUUCAUGGUGAUGUUUGUAUGCCUGUGUCAGUCUUAGAGCUAGUUCACUAUUUCAGUCUGUAUUUCCAGAAAGGAAAAGGGGUGUUCUCCAAUAUGUUAGGAAACAUUAUCUUGCGUCAAGUUGUUCUUCACCCAGAUGUUUGGAAAUACUAUCUGGCAUUCAGCUGUACCUUGCAUUCCUUUCCUGUGGGCCUGAAAUAGUUCUCGAAUUUUACGAGAUUUCAUCAAUGAGUAUUCUUUCAGUAUAUCUUUUUACUACCUUGCCUACUAAUAAAACAUAAGUAAGUUGCCUGACAUACUAAUAAACUACAAAUGUGAAGCAGUGAGUACUCUGCCCAAAGGGUCUAAAUUGUCAACAGGCAACCACUGUACCACUGCAAUAGAUGAUAUUGCUCAAUUGCUAAAUACAAACUACCUUCUUUGAAUAAGCCUAGGUAUGUGACAGCUAUGAUUUUUCUACAAUUGAAUGCUAAAACAUAAUAUCUGUUUUAAAAAUUAUGGUCUUGUGUGUUUUGAGUAUGUUUUGCAUCUAUACAUGUAUGGGAUAUUGCUUGUAACACCCUUUUGAACUCAGUGUUCCUGUUUGUUGCUUGAAUAACGGUAUUAUAUUUGCCACAGAACCUUUGUUCAUUAAUUUAAGCUUCUUUAAGUGUUGUAUGUCCCUAGAACUGUAAUGCCACAUGCCAAACGUUACUGUCAGUUAUAAAGAUUCCCCUGUGUAUUUUUGGAACUUCUUUCAAGACUUUCUGAAAAAUAAGGGAUAGAUUCUUCCCGGUCUGAACCCCAUCUAGGCACUUGAGAGUUCUUUCUCUACUAAAAGCUGACCUUGUGGUCUAUAACCCACUUGCUUAGGGUCGGAAAUGGUGAUUCGUUUAUUCAUGCAGGUGAAUACUUGGUCAGCUUGUACAGGCUGUCAGGACGUCACAAAGGCGUUUCUUGAGCGAUAGUAAACAAGUUCUUCAUGUAGUCAGUCCAUUCCUUUAUACUUCACUACCUGCUUUGGCUUCAGCCUGUCGUGAAGAAACGUUUUAAGGAGGAUUUUAGACACUGUCACUGUCGUUGCGGGUCACGUGACACUAACCAUUGUAGCUUGUGCAGUUCUACUGUUGCCAGCAGGCAGGGUGGAGACCGUGGCUACUACAUAUUGGUUGCUCUUUUGAGAUGGGUGCUCCCACACCCGUCUAAUCUUGACGACUUUGGCUGCAGCCUCGCUUGCGACUUUCGAGGUAAAAGAGAAGAACACAGCACCAGUUAUCGUCAUUGCCAUCUGUCGCCCAUAUGGGUUAUGGUUACAGACCUUGCAUUGUCUGUCGUCCAUAUUCAUGUUAGAAACUUGGAACCCUCUUCGUGCUUAUUGCAAAACCCUGUAUAUCUUCCUGUAUAUCUGUUUGUGUUACAAGCUUGGGAACCUCCACGUGUUGUUGUCUUCUACUUCAUAUUUCGUCUUGUUAUAUUCUAGCCGGAACACCCGGCGUUGUCCUUGUUAUUUGUCCUGAGAACUCUUUCAGCUUUGAUUUUAUUGUCACCUUUUUAUUAGCAUCUUUAGUUGAAUCAUUAAUAAUCAAUUGAUGUGCGCAAACUCAGUGUAGGAAAGUUGUGAAAGGAGGACAGAAACUGAAUGCUUAUAAUGAAGAGCGAUGUUGCAAUGGUACCAGCCCACGUGACUCAUUCACUCGCAGUGCAGUCUUCCUUGCUCCUGUCCUAUUUGUCAUAGUGUUCUAUACGGUACCCUGUCAAAUGACCACAGUCAAAUAUUACUUUUACUGGUACAGCUACGUCAGGGUUAGGGUUACCCUUGCUCCUCUCCUAUUUGUCACAAUGUUCUAUACGGUACCCUGUCAAAUGACCACAGUCGAAAAUUACUCUGGCUGUUAUUUAUUCUGUAGGAUUAGAGUUCGCCCAUUAUUCUUAGAGGUAAAGUGAGGCAAAGAGGUAAAGUCCUUAUAUAAUGUGUAUAGUUAUUUAUACUUUUGAGACACCCCUUUAAAAAAAAUGCUCCCCUCCUACAUGUACCAACCAAGUAUUUCCUGUAGAUCAAAAGAAUAUUCCUGUCACGAUUGAUGAGUAACAUACUGUACGGAUUUGCAUAAUUUUCAUACAGAACCGACACAUCGCCUCGCUCUUCUUUAAAGAUUAGACUACACGUGUGUAACGUUUGGGAAAUGGGAUUUCUGAGUUGUUAGAGUACUAGCAUCCGAACCGAGAGACGCGCGGCUCGAUACCCGUGUGGCGCUGCACACUUUUCUCAGUCGACCAGCAGUCUCCAUAUAGGAGGUAAGGUAGCGAGCGAGAUGGACUACCCCCUCCCUCACAUAAUACUGCCCCGACAAAAGUGAGAUUGAACACCUUACUUCACCCCACCAGCAACCUAAACAAAAAGUGUGUGUGCGGGGGGUGGGGGUGGGUAGAGGUGACCUAUCCUUGACCUGUGGACUAUUUACGUUACUUUAUACUUGAUUAUAUAUAUAUAGCAUUGAUAUACUUUAGCAUAGAUGCCGUUAAUUACGCAGUUUUCUCUCAUUCCUCUGGACACAUAAAGGUUUACGUUGCGCUGACUUUCCUUUAGUAAACGAAUCAUAAGACAGUUCUUGUGAAUGUGUAUUUCUCAAGCAACUUUCUUUGCUCCUCGCAGCUAUUUACUGAUUAUCCCCAGGUUUCUGUAUCUGCACAUUUGCACAUUCCUUCCUAGUCAUGCGAUGGCUGUCCGAGAACACUAACUGACUAUCUCUGUACAGUCGUGCCACAGUUUCUCAACAUCUCUGAACAUCACCUGUGUAGUUUCGGACAACUCCGUGUCUUUUAUUUGUGGUUCAAUAACUUUUGUACACUUCCCUUUGUAAAGUGUUUCGCUACUUGGGAGCAUCUCUAUAUAGCAAUCUAAUAAUUCUUGAACAUUCCUUUAACUAUGAAUGGAUUUGAUUCCCUAAAAUUACUCAAGCAUAGCGUUGCAAGCAUGGCUGAACUGUUGCAAUCUGUUCCCAGUCGAGGUGACAGUUUUCCAGCGCCACUCUCCAGCAAGAACAAGUGUUACACACCUGUGUAUGUUCUUCCUGUCAUGCGGGUUAUUAUCGUGAACUGAAGGCAGCAACUCCUACCUCUCUUAUAAUCAUUCACAAUAUUAGUUCUACCCUUGACACCUUUGCUGGUUUUGGCAAAGUCGCAAAUAGGAACUCUUGUACCCCUCGAGAAAAGUAUAUGUUCAGCUGAUUCUGUUCAUUUUCCAGUUCUAUUUACCACAUUCAGGGUUAGCUUGUAUGUCUUGCCAUUGGUUGUAAACCAGAAAUGCUUUAUUUUUAGAUUUACCUUCGGACCUAUGUUACUACUAAUGUUUGUAACUUGUGAGAAGCAUACGACAGCCGUUUAUUUCAGCACCAGCAACUUUACACAAGUGAAGAUGUAAUAACAAUAUUGGAUAAUAAGGUGUGCGUGCAUGUACAGUCUAUAACACAAUGUCUACAGAAACACUAUCACUUCCACACACGUGCAAAAGUAUACAAUACAAUAUAAUGUGCGUACAGCACAAUGCACUUAGCCUUAAGUUCGCCAGUCUUAUUGUGGACAACAAUCGCCAAUGAUGAUUGGUCAGGGGGCUAGUAUUAUGGGAACUUUGUGUCGGCCUGUCGGCCAUUGCCGUUAGGGCCAGGUCUUGGGAUGUGAUUAGAGUUCGAGCAUUAAGGAGGCUGCUAGCCGAGAUGCGGGCCCAAUUAGCCAAAGAUGAUUUCCAUUACACAUAAAGUUAAAACUUGUCUAGAGGAGCGGUCUGGUAGACCUUACAACAGUUUCUUAAUGGAUGGUGCUUGAAGACCUGCAGUUGUCAGCUUCUGUAGGCCUCGUGGACAGUGCUACAUGUAUGCUGUAUUCUGUCUGCUGUGAUCUUGUGCAUGUCAGUCUAUUGUGAGUAGGACAACAUGGCGAACAUUGUGUAGAGGAUGUACCAAUACCUGACAUUAGUCAACGUGAAUGGUUCCGUAAAGUUAAUUUUGUGGUAGAUCUUCGCUAUUCUUAUAAUGCUGCAAUAAUGCUAAUGACAGGAAGAAUAUAGUCCAUAGAGUGACAAGAUUUUACUUGCUUAGUUUGAAGUGGUGUGUAUGGCAUUUUAUUCC